rnacentral:rRNA from 1 species
UACGUAGGGGGCAAGCGUUGUCCGGAUUUAUUGGGCGUAAAGAGCGUGUAGGCGGCCAGGUAGGUCUGCUGUGAAAACUCGAGGCUUAACCUCGAGCUGUCGGCGGAAACCAUCUGGCUAGAGUCCGGAAGAGGAGAAUGGAAUUCCCGGUGUAGCGGUGAAAUGCGCAGAUAUCGGGAAGAACACCAGUGGCGAAGGCGGCUUUCUGGUCUGCUCUUGACGCUGAGGCGCGAAAGCUAGGGUAGCAAACGGG